UUUGAAUCCUCUUCUCCUCUCUUUUCUCUCUGAAACCCUCAAACCCUAGAGCUUCAAUAUUCAAAAAUUCCCCCAAACCCCUUCAAUUCUUGACCAGAUAUGGGGUCAUCUGGUGAUUUAUUGCCUUAUCAAGCCUCUCACCUCUUCUGGUUGUUUGAUUAUGUUGAUUUACGCAAGAAUCUUGAAGAUAUUCAACUUAAUUUUGUUCAAAACCUUUUCAUAAGCUACCUAUGGUCAUCUCCGUCUAUGAGUACUAUUAUCUUCGUGUUUAUGGUUCGAAUCUAUGGUUCAAAACCAGACUUUCUUUCAUCGCUGUCAUUCUUUUAAAACCCUAGUCUCUUGCUACUCGAAUCUGUUCAAAUCUCUGUAGAUCUGAGAUAAUUUUAAGUUUAUUUAUUAUUUAUUUUUAAAAACUUUUUGUGUUUUAUUAUUAUUAACCGAUUUUGUCUUCUCUGAAGCUGGGUUGUCAUCCUUUUAAGUUCCUGAAAAAAUACUAAUUUUUUUUUAGUGUUUAACCCUAAUUUUCUUUGCUUGUUCGACUGAUUCUCAUGACUAUGUUCUAAACCCUGGGGUUUCUGCGUACUUUACUGAUUAUUUUGAUAUUUGCCCGUUAUUUUUCAUCUCUGUCAAUUGAAAGAGACUGACUGAUUUUAUAAGGGUCCAAAUUAUAUUUUUCUGUUGAAAUUAGUACUUCUCUGUGAUUUCUACCUAUUUUUCUUAUUUGUAACGCCUAAUAGAUUACUUGCCUUAAUUAGUUUAUUAGCCUCAUUUCUAUCUUUUGAUUUACUCUAACCGGCUUAUGAUUUAUUUCCUGCCUUAGUUGAAUCUCAAUCUGAGUUGUUAAUAGAUUCUCCCCAAUAUAAGAGGUGUUUUCCGGAUUCUAUGGGAUUAUUUUGAUCAAGCGUAUCCCCAAAUUAACUAGUUGAUUGUGUUUGCUUGCCUUCUUUGUGAACUCUAAUUUUCUUGCCUUAAUUGUCUUCUCUGCUGAAUGCUAUAUAAAUUCCAUUCUGAUUUCUUUCAAACACAUGAACACACAUAAGUUCUUGAUCUUAUUCACACAUAUCUCCAUCACAGUCUUCAUGUUCUUUAUUUUCCGCACUGUCUAGCCGGCUGAAAGCAAAGGCUAGACCCUUGGAUCCUGUUUGUUUCACUUCCCAUUGCCAUUUCUUAACUAGUAUGUCUCCACUUCUGCCAUCACUCAAUAUGCUAUGUAAUUAGUCCCAUGUAGUUUAUGUUUAUUACUCUUAAUUAGCAUGUCUACUUCUAUGUAACUAGACCCAUGUGCUUCUGUUUAUUACUCUUAAUCAGCAUGUCCACUUCAAUGUAAUUAGGCCUAUGUACUCCUUGUCCAUGGAUCUUAACCACCAUGACUACUUCCAUGAAAUUAGACCUAUGUGCUUAUUGUUUUCUGCAAGUCUGCCUCAAUGUAAUUAGACCUAUGUCUAUUUGUUUCUCACUAACAUGAUUUCUAUCUUGUUUUAAAUGUUCACCCCUAACAGGCUCCUGAAUAACUCAUGAUUUUCAAUGCUUCCAACUUUUGCUACCUUUCUGUAUGAUUGUCUUAUCAGUAACUUGACCCCAGCAUGCUAUUCUCUCAUUAAUAUAUGCCUAUAUGUUCACCUAGUAAUAGCUACUGGAUUAAGGUCAUAUGAAACCUUGUUCAAAUUAAUUGUCACUUUGUUCUUUGAUUGCUGGAGUUCAUGGCUAAACUCCUUCUGCUAAAUGUGUGCUGCUUGUGGUUCUUGUAAUAUGGUAAUUGUUUCUAUGUACUUCUGAAAUCCAAACAUUUUUCUUUCCUAAAACUACUUCCUACUUUUAUACUAUUUUCAACUCCUACUCUUAGUUAACUAGGAUCCUGCCACCCCAAUGUGAGCACUGCUUAGGGUCCAUGAGACUCCUCUGAACUCUGACACAUUAGGGCAUUGCCUGGGGGUCCCUAAGGUCCUUGAGAACUUUGACACACCCGGAAGCAGCUUUAUGUGUUAUGCAUGGACUACCACUAUGCUCAAAGAUGCUAUUUUUGGAGGCUUAGAUACAAGUUGUUGUUAAGCCUACGAAGACUCUCUAUAGUGUAGUGAAUUUCAUUAUGUUAUUCAUUUAUAUUGUUAUAUGUAAUGAUUAUUGUAAAAAUAGAUAUCGAGG
rnacentral:lncRNA from 1 species